rnacentral:lncRNA from 1 species
AGAGAGGUUGAGUAACUUACCCAAGUUUUCAUAGCCGAUCAAUCGUGGAAACAAGAUUUAAACCCAGGCAGUUUUUCUCCAGAGCCUGCCUUCUUUUUCACCACUAAACAUAAAUGUCAACAGAGAGAUGUGUGAGGGCUGAUUGUGAGCAUGUCUUCCCAAGUCUGAAUUCAGUGACCUCACAUUAGUAGCCUGAAAUCAGCUGUGGUAAAUGUAUUCCCACCAUGGAAAUCAGUAAAUGCUGUAAUCAGAGCUCCUCUUGCCUCUCCGGAGCUGGUUGCUAAACAUUUACCAGCACACCACUGGUUACAGACACAUUUGGAAAGCUGUUUGACGGAAUAUUGCAGGUAGGAGCAUAAAUCCAGUCCCUGGUACUCCAUCUUGGCCAGAGUAGAAGUCCAAGUAGCAAUUUUCCUGAAAUGGAAUAAAUGAAGGCUUUAAGAGGGUUCAUCUGAGAAAUGUAUUGGAAGCAGCACUUGCCCCAUCUGUCUGUCCUGGCUCCACUACAGUGCCCGCCAUGACCAGGGUUUGUCCACUAGCUGGAGAUCAUACUAUUACAACAAAGAGGCUACUUACAUGGGGCUCUUUCUAAGUGAGCAGAGUCAGCUCAAAUUCUGCACAAGAGACAAUCUACCUGCCAACUCUGGUCUGCAGCAUGAGGAGCUCUUUUGCUGAUGGGCAAAAGGUUUGAAUCCUGGUUCCACCAUGGCUAAUUGGGUGACAGUGGACAACCUACUUUCUGGGCCCCAGUUUCUUAUGUGGUAGACAAUGGAGAACUUCAAAGGGGAAGACACUGCCUUGGCUCCCUGAAGUGUGGAUAUGGCCCACUCUCAUUCUGCUGCUUGGACUCACCAAACUCUGGCCUCCUUUAUCUCUGAGUUGAACUUUUAAGUGACUUUCAGUGUGCUUUGCUUGAAGUAUAUACUGACUGCCUAGGAAUUGGGCUCCUCUAAUACUUCAAAACACUUUGAAUAAAUGAUUAAAAACGUUUUCAGAAUGUUCUAUACUCUAACAUGGUGGUAAGAAGGGGAUCUCAAGCCUCACUGCCUGGUUUCAAAAUCUGCUGCUGUCAUUUACUAGCUGAAGAACUCUGGGAACAUAAUGGCUGAGGAUUUAGCAGACACACAGCAAGCCACAGAUAUACCAAAUUCAAUCUGGGAGCUUAAAAUCUUCCUCUAGAAUACAGUACUUUGGCUUCUCUGACAAACCUCCUUCAGCAAUAUUAAGUUCUUUGCCCUAAACGACCUCAGGCAGAAGAGAUGGAAUUUUCAAUUAUUUAG